AUGUACAAGACCAUUGCUCAGUUUGCUCUACAAAUUUUGUUCAGUUGAUGUUCUUUUUAAUGUACAUGAAUGCUUGUUUUAUACAUGGAAGUGCUAAAUCACAUAGUCAUGUAUUCAUACAUCUGCUAAGUUGAGUGUCCCAAAAUUCAUGUAACUUGAUGUGGAAAACUAGUCAAUAAAUGGUAGCAAGAUAUCAGAAACAAUGAUUAUUGUAUUUGAAGCCAAGCUUCUAUAUGUGUUUAUUAUUAUCACGAUUUAUUAAUGUGCACAUGAGUUAGCAAACAAAAAACAGUACUGUAAGUGGUAGAGAUGAUUAAUGCUGAAAUAUAUAACUUCUGAUAUUUGUCACACAAGAAAGUGGACAUAAUUUUAUUUUGAUCAAUGCUAUUUUUUGCUUUUCUUAAAAGGAAAGAGAUCUUUUUUAUUUGUGUCAGAAAAGUGCAGCAACUUUUACCAGAGACUCUUAAAUUAUAUUCAGAUUUUUCUGUAGAAUUGGAGAGGAGAAAAUUACUUGUACAGAAAUAUGAAAAUUAUCUUAAAUUUAAAUGAUUUGAACUUUCAUAUUUUUUUAUAUUUUGAAACAAGGAUAUAUGAAAUUAAUUAAUAAAUUAUUUGCUUGUUUUGUAAACAUACUUGCCAAUAUGUGUCUAACAUAUAGUCUCAAUGAAACUGUUUUCAUACAUGCCAUUUUGGAUUGAAUCUCACAUGCUUUUGUUUCUGUAUCAAGAAUGGCGUUCCAUCAUUAUGUUCAUGCAAUUUUAAUUGGCUUUAGUUUGUGUAAACUUAAAACCAUGCAGAGCCGUUCAUUUGCUGUUUCAGUGUCACCAGUAGUUCUGGUUUACAUUAGGCUGUUUUGAAUAAAAUAUAACAUAGUG
rnacentral:misc_RNA from 1 species